CGGACCCUUCCUCGCCUCCUCUUCAUUCUUCUGCCUGGAUGGAAAAGACUCUCAGGGCUCCAGCUCAAGCCCAAGCAACUGCCCUCUGCUGAUCCUCCCAGAAGACGCUUCUGGAGGGUUUCGCUGAUGUCUGGAAGAGCCACUGCGGGGUGGCAGGGGGCAGACUCUAGGAAAUAUACUGGCUUAUUCUGUUCCGAUUUCCUUUUCUGCUUCUCAAGGAUAGGUCUGAGAGGUUGUGAGGGACCCUAUUUCGGAAUCAUGGCAGUUGUAUGCCUCUUGUAGAUUCUGGGAACUCAAGGGAGGAACCCGGGGGCCUCAAAUGUGUGAAUUUCCAAGAAUCUUUAAGACCUCUGGCAGAUCAGGGAGGGCCCGGGUGAGGCAAGGAGCGUGACGGGAGCUGCGGAGCUGCGGGCGUCUGCCUGGCCUGAUGGUGGGUGGGUGGCUGCAUCCUCCUGAAGGGUCUUGGAAGGGCAGUCUUCCUCCCUGGCGGGGGAGCCAGAGGGCUCCCCUGGGGCAGUCUAAGAGGCCAUGACUCCUUUUGCAUCUGAGGGUCGAUGAUGCUCUUCUAAGAUAGGAAGGAGAGGGUCUUUCUGGGCGUGACUGAGAAACACCCUGAAGUUUAGUGAUUCUUUUUUUUUUUAAUGAUGAUUUUUAUUUUUUCCAUUAUAGCUGGUUUACAGUGUUCUGUCAAUUCUCCACUGUACAGCAAGGCGACCCAGUCACCAUACAUGCAUACAUUCCUUUUUCUCACAGUACCAUGCCCCAUCAUAAGUGACUAGAUACAGUUCUCAGUGCUAUACAGCAGGAUCUCAUUGCUUAUCCAUUCCAAAGGCGAGAGUCUGCAUCUAUUAACCCCAAAGUCCCCGUCCAUCCCGCUCCCUCCCCCUUCCCCUUGGCAACCACAAGUCUGUUCUCCAAGUCCAUGAUUUUCUUUUCUGUGGAAAGUUUCCUUUGUGCCAUAUAUUAGAUUCCAGUUAUAAGUGAUAUCAUAUGGUAUUUGUCUUUCUCUUUCUGACUGACUUCACUCAGUAUGAGAGUCUCCAGUUCCAUAGUUGAGUGAUGCUUAAAUUGUUCUAAGCCCGUGGUUCUCAACGAGACUCAUAGCGGGAAACCACUGAGCGGAGUUCCCAGGCUAGGGGUCCAAUUGGAGCUGUAGCCGCCAGCCGACAAUGCAGCCACAGCAACACAGGAUCCAAGCCACAUCUGCGACCUACACCACAGCUCAUGGCAAUGCCGGAUCCUCAACCCACUGAGCGAGGCCAGGGAUCAAAUCUGCAACCUUAUGGUCCCUAGUCGGAUUUGUUUCUGCUGCGCCACAAUGGGAACUCCUGGAGAGAGAUUUCUAAAGAGUUGGAGAGGUGAAUCCCAGACUAGCCAGUGGGCCAGAAGCAAGCAAUGGUGGGCUGAACAACACAUGGAUCCUUCACUGGCCAAAGUGUGUCUGGAGUAGAUGGAUGAAGCUAGAGCGAAUGCAGACCCUUCACCGCCCAGAGAUGGCAGGAACUAAGAGAAUAAACCACACUGUGGGGCUCUUGGAUGCUAUACUUUUUCGUGGUCCUGGAAGCAUCCAUUUCCACAUAUUUCCCUUUGCACCUUUCCUUUGCAGUGUGGCCAUUGCAAAGAAAGAUCCGCUUUGGGAGUAGGCAAGGUAUUAUCCCUAAAGAUGUAGCUAGGGGACAGGACCCCAGGUCCUUGGUGGUGGCCAGACUGUGGCAGAGGGAAACUGGACCCAGUUCUGGCUCAGCCAGGUACCCCCCGUUAUGGAGUGCCUUGUCCACUGGGAACAGUGGUUAAAGCCACAGUCGGACUAGCUAGUGAUGACUGCGGUUAUCAGAGAUGAUUGGCCACUCCACACUGUUCAGUUUCCAGAGUUGGUGGGUUACUGGUGGUCCCAUUCUCAUGUCUCCACCAAAGUUCCAAAUAGGCAGAGUUGUCCCAUCAGCCAGCAGGAAUAUGCACAGCCACCUCCUGCUGGGUCCUCACCGCCCCCCCCCCCCCCAGGUGCUGAUAGCUUUGCGGUGGAUGGUGUCAGCCAAUCAGCCAGCGCUUCCCCACCCCAGCAACACUCUUGACUUUUCUUAGCCUCAUCUCUCCUGUUACCCUUCUUAACACCUUCAUUCCAACUUAAUCUCAUCCUCACCUCUUCCCUUUCCUGCAAAAAACACAGGAAAGUCAUGCAACCCUCCCUUUCUUAGGAGUCUGGAAAUCCAGCUGCUAUUUUGCUUUUUUAUGGAAUUGAGGCUUUGAGGGGUAAAAAGUUGGAACACAUUUAUAGAGGGAGGGGGACCUGCUCUGGGGCUGGGGAAUGAAAGAGUUAGAAAGACAUCGUGUCAUGCCCUUGCUCUCAGUGGACAAGAUGUUUAAGUUAUUUGAAGAGGAGUGAUGCCUGGCUUGCUUUCCUCAUCCCAGCAAUCUCAGUUCCACAAUUCUGGUGUUUAUUGAGUGUCUCUUGUAAGCCGGGUACGGGGCCGGGGCCCGGGGUUCAGCAAAUAUGGCCCCACCUUCAGGGAGCUAAUUAAUAGUCCAUCCUCGGGACAUCUUUGCUCGGGCGUCAUUCUGCCCAAUGGGUUUCCAAACCCUCUAGUCCCUCUCCGUUCUUACUUUCAUUGGGUUCAAUGCCAGCUGUCCGCACGAGGUGGGGUCCUUUGGGGAGAGAAUUGGUAGGAUUUUUUUGGAGGCCAGAGGGUAUUGGGAGAGGGGUGCGCAUGCUCUUAAACCCCAGGUUUAAGAGAGAAAGAGUCUUGGGCCGAGACAGGAAGAGGCAGGUGCAUUUGCUUUUUUUGCAGACCUCACUGAUUUGGUGCAGCCAAUUAAGGGGAAGAAAGCGGGAGCAGACAGGCUCUGCCUGCGUGGUGAGCUUUGCCUGAUGCGCCUGUGCUCUUCUCCUCCAUCUACGGCACAAGUUCAGCUCAGAUCGAUGCCAAGCUCGGUAAUUUAUUUAUGAAAUUAUAUAGCCCUUCCUCAAGUAACAUUUUACUUUUAUUUUAUUUCAUCUCCCAGAUCCCCACAGUGAAAGCAGAAGUUAUUUCCUCACAGGUAACAGCCUUUUGACACUCAUUCAUAUAAAUGGAAGGGAGAAUGGGGGAAAAUACCCCUAGUACGUGGCCGAUCCGGAGGCUAAGGCGUGAUGAUAGUUUAAGGGUUUCUGUCUCCAUUGGAUUCAGUCUCGACCUGGAAACCUGGGACGUUAACCCUCGCAGGCCCUUUUUUUCACUCCGUGGAACCAACGGUGACAGUCCCGAGUCCCGAGGACCACCUGUCACGGGGGAGGGCUGGACACCUCUGGCCCUCUGCGCGCUUACAUCCACCUCCGUGCUCUUUAUUUGCUGCGGAACUUCCUGGCUUGUGUUCUGAGGCCCCAGGAUCGAUGGUUAUGAACAAAGGACGCGGCGCGCUCUCUCCGUGCCCCAAGCAAAGUUGGUGCUGCCAGCCCACAUCACUUGGAGAAUCUCUGAUGUCACAGCAUGGGGUGACCUCCCUCUGCCCGGGAGCUUGUCCCCCUGCUGAAUCACGUGCUGCCCUGAGUGGAUUAGUCCAGUGGCAGGUUCUGUACUCUCCCCCGAAGUUCUCUCUCCUCUGGGAGUCUUCUGGGUUGGAGGGGCCACCAUCACUGACUUCACACCGAGGCCUUUCUUGGAGCGGGUCUCAGGGCUACCGGGAGGAGGUGCCGGUUGUGGCUUAGACCCACGAGUCUCUGUCCCUCUAUGUUUGGGUUCCUUUGUUCAAAACAACAGCGUCAGAGUUCCCGCUGUGGCUCAGCUGGUAGUGUCUGAGGAUGGGGGUUCAAUCCUUGGCCUUGCUCAGAGGGUUAAGGAUCAGCUGUUGCUGCAAGCUGUGGUGUAGGUCACAGAUGUGGCUCGGAUCCCUGUGUUGCUGUGGCUGUGCUGUAGGCUGGCAGCUGCAGCUCUGAUUCAACCCCUAGCCUGGGACCUCACAUGUGCCGCAGGUAUGUCCCUAAGAAGAAAAAAACAGGUCUAAACAAAACUCCAGUGUCAUCUUUGGUUCUUCCUUCUCCUUCAUCCCAACUCAGUUACUGACCAAACAUACUGUACUUUCCUCCUCAUUUGUUCUUUUUUUUUUUUUUCUUUUUUUUGGGUCUUUUUAGGGUCACAUCCGUGGCAUCUGGAGGCUCCCAGGCUAGAGGUCUCAUCGGCCUCUGCCACAGCCUCAGCAACGCGGGAUCUGAGCCGCGUCUGCAACCUCCACCACAGCUCACAGCAACGCCGGAUCCUUAACCCACUGUGGGAGGCCGGGAUCAAAGCCACAACCUCAUGGUUCCUGGUCGGAUUCGUUUCCGCUGUGCCACGGAGGGAACUCCCUCCUUCGUCUGGUUUUCUCCCCGUGUUCUACUUCCUGUCUGUGGCUUCCGGUCGGGGGUGCACCCCACUUCCCGCCUGCCCUGCCUUCUUCAUCUCACCGCCUCAGCCCUGUUCAGAUGUGUUUACCUCUUCUCCGCGAGUCUGAUAACACCUGUUCACUUUCUUUCCCGCUUUUGGUCUCAUUCCCUCCAGUGUGUUUGGCACUGAAGUGCCCAAUUCAUCUCCUUCAAGUAUAGCUUUCAGGUUACCGCUCUCUUGCUCAAGAAUCUUCAAUGGCUCCCCACAGAUUAUGGACCAUCUUUCCGCUUAAACCUGGCGUUCAAAGUUAUCCAUGUUUUGGAAUCAGCUUAUAAUUGGCUAUAUCUUUAACUUUCGCCCUAACGUAAAUCCAGCAUUGCAAUCAAAUCCCAUAUGAUUUAUGCGCCUCUGCUUCUGGUAAUGGCAGACUAGGUAAUUCAGACUGACCCCCCUUCUGAGGAAAAUUGGAAAGUUAUUUGCAGAAGUAUUCUUGAAGACAUAUGAAAGCUAACGAAAUGGUGUUUUGUUUGUUUGUUUGUUUGUUUUUUGCCACACCUGUGACACGUAGAAGGUCCAGACCAGAGAUUGAACCCUUGCCACAGCAGUGACCCAAACCACCCCAGCGACACCACCCGAUCCCUGACCCCCUGCACCACAAGAGAACUCCAAGUGGUGAAUUUUUACAGGACCUUUUUAUUUUAUUCUAUUUUUAUUUACUCUUUAUUUUGGCUGGAUAUUUUCCAUAUCCAGUGGCAUAUGGAAUUCCUGGGCCAGGGAUCAGAUCCGAACUGCAGUUGCAACCUAAGUGGUAGCUGCAGCAAUGCUGGAUCCUUAACCCACUCUGCCUGGUUGGGGACUGAACCUGCAUCCCAGUGCUUCCAGGACACCCCCAAUCCCAUUGCACCAUAGGGCCAAUUUUAGAAGAAGAGGGAAAUCAGGAAAUAAGUUACUAGAGGGGGUGGGACUUUUUGCUGGUUUCUAGAGAGGCAGCUGAGGGUGUAAGAAUUGUAUUUCAUAGCCUCAUGUGGUUAGGAGACAAAAGCUGGGGUUCAAAGGCUGUCGGAAUGGGUUGAGACUUAUAAGUAUACCCACCUUUGCAAGUUCUGAAGUUCAGCUUUGAACCAUGUAACUAAGAACAAUCUCAGUUCCUGAAAUGGAACUAAUGUUACACCGUAUUUUGCAAGAUAGUCCCCUGGCUGAAGCAUUAGAAAACCGUCCGGAGGAGAAUUACAUUAUCCUAGUUAGAAAACUAUUCCUAUACACAAAUCUUUGAAUGCAAUGUCCAGCAUACAAUCAAAGGGAAGUUAGCACACAAGGAAACAGUUAAACAUGAACAAGAACCAGCAGAAAUGAUAGAGUUGCAGGUUUUCUGGAUACUGCAGUUAUCAGGCACUAGCUUUAAAAUAACCUUGCUUACUAUUUUCAAGUAGAAAUAAGACAAGAUUAAAAAACCUGGCAGCAAGUUAGAAACUGUAAAGACUCUAUAGUAGAUUUGAAACAAGAACCAGAAAGAUACACCACAACUGAAAAAUACAACUGAAAUUAAGAACUCAAUGGAUGGAUUUUAAAAGAAUUUAGACAUAGCCAAAGGGGUAAUUAACAAAGUAGGGGACAGGGCAAAAGAAAGCAUCCAAAAUGAAGGAUAAAAAAUAAGAAAAGGGACAGAUGGUCAGUAGGUACAUGAAAAGAUGCUCAGCAUCAGUAAUUAUUAGAGAAAUGCAAAUCACAACUGCAGUGCAGUAUCACCUCACAUCGGUCAGAUUGGCCAUCAUUAAAAAGGUCUACAGGAGGAGUUCCCGUCGUGGCGCAGUGGUUAACAAAUCCGACUAGGAACCAUGAGGUUGCGGGUUCGAUCCCUGCCCUUGCUCAGUGGGUUAAGGAUCCAGCAUUGCCGUGAGCUGUGGUGUAGGUCACAGAUGUUGCUUGGAUCCCGCGUUGCUGUGGCUGUGGCGUAGGCCGGCGGCUACAGCUCUGAUUGGACCCCUAGCCUGGGAACCUCCAUAUGCCGCGGGAGUGGCCCUAGAAAAGGCAAAAAGACAAAAAAAAAAAAAAAAAGUCUACAGGGGUUCUCGUUGUGGAGCAGGGGAAACAAAUCUGUCUAGUAUCCAUGAGGAAUGUGGGUUCUAUCCCUGGCCUUGCUCAGUAUGUCAGGGAUCCGUCAUUGCCGUGAGCUGCAGUGUAGGUUGCACUCGCAGCUUGGAUCCUGUGUUGCUGUGGCUGUGGCUGUGGCAGCAGCUGUAGCUCCGAUUCCACCCCUAGCCUGGGAACCUCUGUAUGGUGUGAGUGAGGCCCUAAAAAGAAAAAAAA
rnacentral:lncRNA from 1 species